rnacentral:rRNA from 1 species
AGUGAACGCUGGCGGUAGGCCUAACACAUGCAAGUCGAACGGCAGCACAGUAAGAGCUUGCUCUUACGGGUGGCGAGUGGCGGACGGGUGAGGAAUACAUCGGAAUCUACUUUUUCGUGGGGGAUAACGAAGGGAAACUUACGCUAAUACCGCAUACGACCUACGGUUGAAAGCAGGGGAUCUUCUUACCUUGCGCGAUUGAAUCAGCCGAUGUCGGAUUGGCUAGUUGGCGGGGUAAAGGCCCACCAAGGCGACGAUCGGUAGCUUGUCUGGGAGGCUGAUAAGCCACAUUGGAGGGGGGACAGCGUCAAUACUCCUACGGGAGGCAGCAGAGUGGAAUAUUGGACAACAGGGGCAAGCCUGAUCCAGCCAUAGCGCGUGGGUGAAAAAGACGUUGCGGUUGUAAAGCCCGUUUGUUGGGAGAAAAAAGCAGCAGGUUAAUACCCCGCUGUUCUGACGGUACCCGAAGAAUAAGCACCGGCUAACUUCGUG